rnacentral:misc_RNA from 1 species
UGCUUCCAUCCACAGCUUUCCUG